rnacentral:rRNA from 1 species
UGGGGGAUAUUGCGCAAUGGGGGAAACCCUGACGCAGCAACGCCGCGUGAAGGAAGAAGGCCUUCGGGUUGUAAACUUUUGUCGCAAGGGAAGAAAAAAAUGACGGUACCUUGUGAGGAAGCCACGGCUAACUACGUGCCAGCAGCCGCGGUAAUACGUAGGUGGCGAGCGUUGUCCGGAUUUACUGGGUGUAAAGGGCGCGUAGGCGGGAUGGAAAGUCAGUCGUGAAAUACCGAAGCUCAACUUCGGGGCUGCGAUUGAAACUUCCAUUCUUGAGUGUCGGAGAGGAAAGCGGAAUUCCUAGUGUAGCGGUGAAAUGCGUAGAUAUUAGGAGGAACACCAGUGGCGAAGGCGGCUUUCUGGACGAUAACUGACGCUGAGGCGCGAAAGUGUGGGGAGCAAACA